GCCUUCGUGGUGUAGUGUUCAGCAAACUCGACGCGUAUUCGAGAAGUCCGUGGUUCGAGUCCUGGCGAGGGCA
rnacentral:tRNA from 1 species